rnacentral:rRNA from 1 species
UAGGGAAUCUUCCACAAUGGACGGAAAGUCUGAUGGAGCAACGCCGCGUGAGUGAAGAAGGGUUUCGGCUCGUAAAACUCUGUUGUUAAAGAAGAACAUAUCUGAGAGUAACUGUUCAGGUAUUGACGGUAUUUAACCAGAAAGCCACGGCUAACUACGUGCCAC